AGGAAGCGGGGAUGACGUCCAAGUCCUCAUGGCCCUUACAUCCCGGGCUACACACGUGCUACAAUGGCAGGUACAGAGGGCUGCGAAGCCGCGAGGUGGAAGCGAAUCCCAGAAAACCUGUCUCAGUCCGGAUUGAAGUCUGCAACUCGACUUCAUGAAGUCGGAAUCGCUAGUAAUCGCGGAUCAGAACGCCGCGGUGAAUACCGGUUCUCGGGUUU
rnacentral:rRNA from 1 species